GGCUGCACUCUCAACCUGCCAUUAAUAAUUCGAUUUGUCCAAUUGCUACAGAUAAGGAGCAUAUUGCUUGGGAAGUUGUAACUGCUUCUCUUUCUCACCUGUACAACAUUCGUGAGUGGGGAAAAGACAACUUCCUGUUCGAAGGCCACACGCUCCCGCGGCAGCUGCCUGCGUCAGC
rnacentral:lncRNA from 1 species